UGCGUAGGCGGGCUAAUAAGUCAGUGGUGAAAUCUCUCGGCUCAACCGGGCAACUGCCAUUGAUACUGUUAGUCUUGAGUUCGGUUGAGGUAGGCGGAAUGUGUAAUGUAGCGGUGAAAUGCUUAGAUAUUACACAGAACACCAAUUGCGUAGGCAGCUUACUAGACCGACACUGACGCUGAGGCACGAAAGCGUGGGGAGCGAACAGGAUUAGAUACCCUGGUAGUCC
rnacentral:rRNA from 1 species